rnacentral:rRNA from 1 species
UACGGGGGGUGCGAGCGUUGUCCGGAAUCACUGGGCGUAAAGGGCGCGUAGGUGGUUUGAUAAGGGUGUGGUGAAAGCCCGGGGCUCAACCCCGGGUCUGCCGUGCCGACUGUCAAACUCGAGGGCUGUAGAGGCAGACGGAAUUCCGGGUGUAGCGGUGGAAUGCGUAGAGAUCCGGAGGAAGACCGGUGGCGAAGGCGGUCUUCUGGGCAGUUACUGACACUGAGGCGCGACAGCGUGGGGAGCAAACAGG